rnacentral:lncRNA from 1 species
CACCAUCAAUCAUGUAUAAAGACUUCAGUGAAAAUCGUCAAACCUGAUAACACUAAAGAAAAUAAAUUAAUAUACGUAAAUAAAUAUUUGCUUAUUUUAGAAGUCUUAACUUCUCACAAGAAUGACCUCAUGUUCAAAGGAUAACAAUGCUGCAGAAGUUGAAGAGAAGCAAGAUACAACUGGCGACUGUGCUUUUUAUUCAGUUUUACUACUCUUUUUCAAAAAAAUAACUUGAUCAGCAUAUAUAAUGCAUAACUCCUUGCUAUAUAUUUUCAUUUUCUUCUGUGCAAAUAGUGACCAAAAAUAAGGAUAGAUCAUCAACACAGAUCUAUUUUACAUUAUAAUGUAGAUUUUCUGUGCAUGCAUCCAUAAAUAUGAGCAUGCCUACAUUAGCACAUUACAAAGCAUGCAUAAUCCUGAAGAAUGAUGCACAUUGUUCUAUUUUACAUAUUUCACAUCUCUUCUUAAAAAGCUAAAGAGUGUUAUGAUCUUGUAAACUAAAUUUGUUCAAUAUCUCACCCAAUGCUUCUAAAGUGAACUUGUAUCGUUCACGCGAUUUUCUCCCCUCUUCAACCAACUUCACAGCACACUUGUACAAAUUAUCAU